CUCAUUGUCUCUCCUGUCCAGGAAGAGGAAGACAGAUUUGGUUGAGGGGACUUAUCUCUAACAGCAGCCUCUUGUUGAUCUUCCCAGACAAGACCCCCAACCACCACCCUGGGCUGGACCCCUCUCUACAGCUAGGAGCCAAUGGCAGAAGACAAAACCAAACCCACUGAGCUGGACCAAGUGAAAUAUGAUGCUGAUGACAAUGUGAAGAUCAUCUGCCUAGGAGAUAGCGCAGUGGGCAAAUCCAAACUCAUGGAGUGAUUUCUCAUGGAUGGAUUUCAGCCACAGCAGCUGUCCAUGUAUGCCCUGACCAUGUACAAGCACACAGCCAUGGUAGAUGGCAAGACCAUCCUUGUGGGUAAGCAGCACAGGACCAAGCCAUGCUGACCCUCAGGAAAGAAGAAAUGGGAGAGGAGGGGAAGUGAGGGAAUGUUCAUAAGGAGAGAAUCCAGAGGAAGAAAAUGAGACCCUAGGCAGGGACAAGAAGUGGCAGAGAGAACCCAGAGAGCCAGGAGGCCAUGGAGGGUGGAAGGAAGCACACAGAGGCCAAGUGCCAGCUCUCCCACAUGGUGUCCAGGCCAGCACUGGUGUGCAGGACAGGGUUCAGGAGUAGAAGUCCGGAGGCUGUACCUGUCAGAGGGAAGAAGAACAUAAGAGGCCUUCAACAAGUCGGUAGUUUUCCUAGCUUUAUUAAUACUUAAGGAAGUGACAAUUAAAACAAUACUGAAAUAUCUUUGGGAGGCUGGAGUGAGCAGAACGCUUGAGGCCAGGAGCUCAAAACAAGCCUGGCCAACAUGGGGAGACCCCAUCUCCUCUAAAAAUACAAAAAAAAAAAAAAAUUAGUUGG